GAUGAACGCUGGCGGCGUGCCUAGUACAUGCAAGUCGAGCGAACGGACGAGAAGCUUGCUUUUCUGAUGUUAGCGGCGGACGGGUGAGUAACACGUGGAUAACCUACCUAUAAGACUGGGAUAACUUCGGGAAACCGGAGCUAAUACCGGAUAAUAUUUUGAACCGCAUGGUUCAAAAGUGAAAGACGGUCUUGCUGUCACUUAUAGAUGGAUCCGCGCUGCAUUAGCUAGUUGGUAAGGUAACGGCUUACCAAGGCAACGAUGCAUAGCCGACCUGAGAGGGUGAUCGGCCACACUGGAACUGAGACACGGUCCAGACUCCUACGGGAGGCAGCAGUAGGGAAUCUUCCGCAAUGGGCGAAAGCCUGACGGAGCAACGCCGCGUGAGUGAUGAAGGUCUUCGGAUCGUAAAACUCUGUUAUUAGGGAAGAACAUAUGUGUAAGUAACUGUGCACAUCUUGACGGUACCUAAUCAGAAAGCCACGGCUAACUACGUG
rnacentral:rRNA from 1 species